rnacentral:rRNA from 1 species
UGACCGCUGGCGGCGUGCCUAAUACAUGCAAGUCGAGCGAACAGACGCGGAGCUUGCUCCUCUGACGUUAGCGGCGGACGGGUGAGUAACACGUGGAUAACCUACCUAUAAGACUGGGAUAACUUCGGGAAACCGGAGCUAAUACCGGAUAAUAUAUUGAACCGCAUGGUUCAAUAGUGAAAGACGGUUUUGCUGUCACUUAUAGAUGGAUCCGCGCCGCAUUAGCUAGUUGGUAAGGUAACGGCUUACCAAGGCGACGAUGCGUAGCCGACCUGAGAGGGUGAUCGGCCACACUGGAACUGAGACACGGUCCAGACUCCUACGGGAGGCAGCAGUAGGGAAUCUUCCGCAAUGGGCGAAAGCCUGACGGAGCAACGCCGCGUGAGUGAUGAAGGUCUUCGGAUCGUAAAACUCUGUUAUUAGGGAAGAACAAAUGUGUAAGUAACUAUGCACGUCUUGACGGUACCUAAUCAGAAAGCCACGGCUAACUACGUG